GCUGGGAUGUGAUGGGGAGCGAAAUUUAGUAGCGAAGUAGCUGAUUUCACACUGUCAAGAAAAGUCUCUAUCGAGGUUAAAGGUACCCGUACCGCAAACCGACACAGGUGGGUGAGGAGAGUAUCCUAAGGCCAGCGAGAGAACUGUUGUUAAGGAACUCGGCAAAAUGACCCCGUAACUUAGGGAUAAGGGGUGCCACCAUCCGGUGGCCGCAGAGAAUAGGCCCAAGCGACUGUUUACCAAAAACAUAGGUUUCUGCUAAGUCGCAAGACGAUGUAUAGGAGCUGACGCCUGCCCGGUGCUGGAAGGUUAAGGGGAUCUGUUAGAGCAAUCGAAGCAGUGAACUUAAGCCCCAGUAAACGGCGGCCGUAACUAUAACGGUCCUAAGGUAGCGAAAUUCCUUGUCGGGUAAGUUCCGACCCGCACGAAAGGCGUAACGAUUUGGGCACUGUCUCAACAACAGACUCGGUGAAAUUGUAAUUCCGGUGAAGAUGCCGGAUACCUGCGACAGGACGGAAAGACCCCAUGGAGCUUUACUGUAGCUUGACAUUGGGUCUUGGUACUACAUGUACAGGAUAGGUGGGAGGCUUUGAAACCAGGACGCCAGUUUUGGCGGAGCCAUCCUUGGGAUACCACCCUUGUAGUACUGGGACUCUAACCAUAGGCCAUGAAUCUGGUCUUGGGACACUGUCAGGUGGGCAGUUUGACUGGGGCGGUCGCCUCCCAAAAGGUAACGGAGGCGCUCAAAGGUUCUCUCAGUACGGUCGGAAAUCGUACGUAGAGUGUAAAGGCAAAAGAGAGCUUGAUUGCAAGACAUACAGGUCGAGCAAGGAUGAAAAUCGGACUUAGUGAUCCGGUGGUUCUGCGUGGAAGGGCCAUCGCUCAACGGAUAAAAGCUACCCUGGGGAUAACAGGCUUAUCUCCCCCAAGAGUCCACAUCGACGGGGAGGUUUGGCACCUCGAUGUCGGCUCAUCACAUCCUGGGGCUGUAGUAGGUCCCAAGGGUUGGGCUGUUCGCCCAUUAAAGUGGUACGCGAGCUGGGUUCAGAACGUCGUGAGACAGUUCGGUCCCUAUCCGUCGCAGGCGUAGGAAAUUUGAGAAGACCUGUCCUUAGUACGAGAGGACCGGGAUGGACGUACCUCUGGUGUACCAGUUGUUCUGCC
rnacentral:rRNA from 1 species